AACGAACGCUGGCGGCAGGCUUAACACAUGCAAGUCGAACGCAUCGCAAGAUGAGUGGCAGACGGGUGAGUAACGCGUGGGAACAUACCCUUUUCUACGGAAUAGCUCUGGGAAACUGGAAUUAAUACCGUAUACGCCCUACGGGGGAAAGAUUUAUCGGGGAAGGAUUGGCCCGCGUUGGACUAGCUAGUUGGUGGGGUAAAGGCCUACCAAGGCGACGAUCCAUAGCUGGCCUGAGAGGAUGAUCAGCCACAUUGGGACUGAGACACGGCCCAAACUCCUACGGGAGGCAGCAGUGGGGAAUAUUGGACAAUGGGCGCAAGCCUGAUCCAGCCAUGCCGCGUGAGUGAUGAAGGCCUUAGGGUUGUAAAGCUCUUUCACCGAUGAAGAUAAUGACGGUAGUCGGAGAAGAAGCCCCGGCUAACUUCGUGCCAGCAGCCGCAGUAA
rnacentral:rRNA from 1 species